AGCGAACUUAACAGCAAUGUGGGAAGUGUGGCAAUCAAGGACUGGAGCAUAACCAUUACCAAUCUGACCAGGGUGGUUCAUGAUGAUAACCUGAGAUGUAAAGUUAGCAGCUUCCUUGGCAGGGUCAUCCUUGGAGUUUGAGGCAACGAAACCACGCUUGAGAUCCUUGACAGCAACGUUCUUGACGUUGAAGCCAACAUUGUCACCUGGCAAAGCUUCUGGGAGAGACUCGUGGUGCAUUUCAACAGACUUAACUUCAGUGGUCAGUCCAGUUGGUCCGAAGGUAACAACCAUACCAGGCUUGAGGACACCAGUUUCAACACGUCCAACAGGGACAGUUCCAAUACCACCAAUCUUGUAAACGUCCUGAAGUGGGAGACGGAGGGGCUUGUCUGAGGGCCUCUUGGGCUCAGAGAUCAAGUCAAGAGCCUCAAGAAGGGUUGGUCCCUUGUACCAAUCAAGGUUGGUGGACCUCUCAAUCAUGUUGUCACCCUCGAAACCAGAGAUGGGAACGAAGGGGAUUUUGUCUGGGUUGUAUCCGACCUUCUUGAGGUAUGAUGAGACUUCCUUCACAAUUUCAUCGUACCUUGCCUUGGAGUAUUUGGGUGUG
rnacentral:lncRNA from 1 species